AGCUUUGCGCGGUGGCAGUAUCGUAGCCAAUGAGGUUUAUCCAAGGUGUGAUUAUUGCUAAUUGAAUUCAUCCUCUUCCAUUUCUGAUGUUCUUCCAGCCUCUUAGGCUGAGUGACAUUCGGCAAGCUGCUCUGUGCUCUGGGUCACACAG
ensembl:snRNA U4 U4 spliceosomal RNA